rnacentral:rRNA from 1 species
UACGUAGGGUGCAAGCGUUAAUCGGAAUUACUGGGCGUAAAGCGUGCGCAGGCGGUUAUGUAAGACAGAUGUGAAAUCCCCCGGGCUCAACCUGGGAACUGCAUUUGUGACUGCAAGGCUGGAGUGCGGCAGAGGGGGAUGGAAUUCCGCGUGUAGCAGUGAAAUGCGUAGAUAUGCGGAGGAACACCGAUGGCGAAGGCAAUCCCCUGGGCCUGCACUGACGCUCAUGCACGAAAGCGUGGGGAGCAAACAGG